ensembl:lncRNA
CAGAGAGGCAAAUCGUAUGUAAAUAAAUAAUAUCAUUGUUCUGGAAGUGAAAGAAUAAUCUCACUGUUGAGCUGUUGAAACAUAUUCCACUGCAGUUAUUGGACUCUGAUUGCUUCAUUGGUUUCCAUUUGCCACAAGCAGGAAACCUUUGAAGGAUGGAUGAACUGAAUGUGAGAGCAGGAGGAAGGCAAUAGCCAUCUUUGGACAAAAAUUACAGAGGACAGCUGUCCCUUCUGCCACUGUGAAGCGGCUCUGGGGUGUAAACGGAUCUGCUGACUGUGGAUGGAGGGUUGCUGUUUCAGGAGCAACUGCAAAUUCAGACACAUGAGAAUUGAUAUGGAUGCAAGGUGGCUGUGAGGCCUAUUGAUUCGAAAACCACCUUCCCCACAAAGCAGAGACGGAAAAGAAAAGCAGCAGAGAUUCAUCCAUCUGCUGCUAAGGACACAGAUGAGCCCCCAGCUAGAAAACUACCUAUGGCGAUUCUUGCUUCAGUCCCACCUGAAUACACCUUGGUCAGCACUGAAGUCAUAAAACUUCCAAGCAGUCUGGAACUGCUUCCAGGAACACAGACAUACUCUGUGGCACAGUCAGAGGUCUCAAACUCAACAGCUCAUUCCUCACAAGAAGCAGAUAAGACGCAGCAGCUGAGCUGCACAGAGGCUGGGAAAGCACUCGUCUCUGAAGAUGAUGACCUUCAGAAGUUAUUGAUGGAAAUCACAGGAGAACUGGAAGGAGAAAAUGAUGUGGACGCUGAAAAGGGUGUGGAUGAGCUCCUUCUGGAACUGUCUGAGAUCACUGACAGCGUGAUACCACAGUCUGAUUGUAAUUUUUAAGACAAACAACAGCAACAACCAAUUAAAACCAACCCUGUUCCUUUUCAACCCUGUUCCUUUCCUUAUUCUGAGGGGACACUUUUUCUGAAACUUUGCAAUGAGUCUUAAAGCAGAGUCAAAC